UGCACCUAAAUGAUUUAUCUGGAUAUGAUAUAUAUGUGAUAAUUUCAUUUUCGUGCUUUGUAUGUUUUGCUUUCCUUUGUUGGCCAGGAAUGGGACUGGGAUGAUUAGACUGGCCGUCUGGCAACAGGAAAGAGGCUAUUGUGUAGAUGCUAUGUGAAAGUGAAUUUUAAAUUGGUUUAAAGGGGUAAGGACUGAGACUGCGGUUUUAUUGGCCAUCUGGAAAUACCCCGGGGGAGUGUAUUGUCGAGACACUCCGAACCACCUGUGUGUGGGCUCUGUUACGAUUUGACAAUGCUCUGUGAAAUGUGUUCCAGGCAGUGAAUUCACGUAUGGGCAUGAGGGAGAAAACACAACGGCGGAGGAAGAGCAGGAAGGAGAUGUGCAAAUCAGGGUGUAACUACUG